GACGAACGCUGGCGGCGCGCCUAACACAUGCAAGUCGAACGAGAGAUGAGGAGCUUGCUCUUCAGAUCGAGUGGCGAACGGGUGAGUAACGCGUGAGGAACCUGCCUCAAAGAGGGGGACAACAGUUGGAAACGACUGCUAAUACCGCAUAAGCCCACGGCUCGGCAUCGAGCAGAGGGAAAAGGAGCAAUCCGCUUUGAGAUGGCCUCGCGUCCGAUUAGCUAGUUGGUGAGAUAACGGCUCACCAAGGCGACGAUCAGUAGCCGGUCUGAGAGGAUGAACGGCCACAUUGGGACUGAGACACGGCCCAGACUCCUACGGGAGGCAGCAGUGGGGGGAUAUUGCACAAUGGGGGAAACCCUGAUGCAGCGACGCCGCGUGAGGGAAGAAGGUUUUCGGAUUGUAAACCUCUGUCUUCGGUGACGAAAAUGACGGUAGCCGAGGAGGAAGCCACGGCUAACUACGUGCCAGCAGCCGCGGU
rnacentral:rRNA from 1 species